CUGUGAAGCCAACCAGAAGUUAAGGAUCCGUUCCUCUGCAGUUCUCUACCAUGGAGCUUAAUGUGCCCUCUCUCUUUUUGUUGGGGACCCUGGCCCUGACGGAGAUCUGGGCAGGCUGUCACUCCCUGAGGUACUUCGACGCCGCCAUGGCCUCGCACGAGCUCGCGGAGCCCCGGUUCCUCGCCGUGGGCUACGUGGACGAUCAGCAGUUCGUGCGCUUCGACAGCCACAGCGCGAGUCCGAGGGAGGAGCCGCGGGCGCCGUGGAUGGAGCAGAUGGACCCGGGCUACUGGGAGCGGAACACGCGGGUCAAUAGGGAGAAUGCACAGAGUUACCGAGUGGGCCUGCAGAACCUCCGCGGCUACUUCAACCAGAGCGAGGGCGGGGUCCACACCUACCAGAGCAUUUGCGGCUGCGAGGUCUCCCCCGAUCUCACCUUCAAGCGCGGGUUUUACCAAUUUGCCUACGACGGCCAAGACUACAUCGCCCUGGACACGGAGACCUCCACAUGGAUCGCGUUGGUGCCCCAGGCCGUGAACACCAAGCUCAAGUGGGAGGUGGACAGCAGCCUAGUUGAGAGAGAGAAAGCCUAUCUGAAGGAGAAGUGCGUGCAGUGGCUGAAGAAGUACCUGGAGAUCGGGCAGAAGACUCUGAAGAGGGCAGACCCGCCCAAUGCCCGAGUGACCCGCCACACUGCCCCCUACGGGGAGGUGACCCUGCGGUGCCGGGCCCAAGACUUCUACCCCUCGGACAUCUCCCUGACUUGGCUGAGGGAUGGGGAGGAACAGCUGCAGGACACAGAGUUCAUUGAGACCAGGCCUGCAGGAGAUGGAACCUUCCAGAAGUGGGCAGGUGUGGAUGUGACCUCGGGCCAAGAAGAGAAAUAUACCUGCCGAGUUCAGCACGAGGGACUGCCUGAGCCCCUCACCCUGAAGUGGGAGCCAGAAUCCUCAUCCACCUGGCUCAUUGUGGGAGGCCUUGCUGUCCUCCACCUCCUCCUCACUGCAGUCAUUGCUGAGUUGUGAUCUGGAGGAAGAAGACUUCAGGUGGAAAAGGAGGGGACUAUGUUCCUGCUGCAGGCAAUGACAGUGCACAGGGGUCAGAUGUCUCCCUCACAGCCAAAG